UACAGAGGUCUCAAGCGUUGUUCGGAUUCAUUGGGCGUAAAGGGUGCGUAGGCGGCGCGGUAAGUCGGGUGUGAAAUCUUGGGCGUUAACUCCGAAACUGCAUUCGAUACUGCCGUGCUUGAGGACUGGAGAGGAGACUGGAAUUUACGGUGUAGCGGUGAAAUGCGUAGAUAUCGUAAGGAAGACCAGUGGCGAAGGCGGGUCUCUGGACAGUUCCUGACGCUGAGGCACGAAGGUCAGGGGAGCAAACGGG
rnacentral:rRNA from 1 species